rnacentral:rRNA from 1 species
ACGCUCGACACCUACGGGAGGCNGCAGUCGGGAAUAUUGCGCAAUGGAGGAAACUCUGACGCAGUGACGCCGCGUAUAGGAAGAAGGUUUUCGGAUUGUAAACUAUUGUCGUUAGGGAAGAGAAAGGACAGUACCUAAGGAGGAAGCUCCGGCUAACUACGUGCCAACAGCCGCGGUAAUCUGAGCGGGCUGGCAAGGC